rnacentral:rRNA from 1 species
AACGAACGCUGGCGGCAUGCCUAACACAUGCAAGUCGAACGAGACCUUCGGGUCUAGUGGCGCACGGGUGCGUAACGCGUGGGAACCUGCCCUUAGGUUCGGAAUAACUCCCCGAAAGGGGUGCUAAUACCGGAUAAUGUCUUCGGACCAAAGAUUUAUCGCCUUUGGAUGGGCCCGCGUUGGAUUAGCUAGUUGGUAGGGUAAAAGCCUACCAAGGCGACGAUCCAUAGCUGGUCUGAGAGGAUGAUCAGCCACACUGGGACUGAGACACGGCCCAGACUCCUACGGGAGGCAGCAGGGGGGAAUAUUGGACAAUGGGCGAAAGCCUGAUCCAGCAAUGCCGCGUGAGUGAUGAAGGCCUUAGGGUUGUAAAGCUCUUUUAACCGGGAUGAUAAUGACAGUACCGGGAGAAUAAGCUCCGGCUAACUCCGUG